CAAUAGCGUAUAUUUAAGUUGCUGCAGUUAAAAAGCUCGUAGUUGGAUUUCGGGGCAGCCUGGCUGGUCCGCCGCAAGGCGAGUACUGGUCAGCCGCCCUUCCUCUCGAAAGCCCCGACUGCUCUUCGUUGCAGUGGUCGGGUAGUUCGGGACGUUUACUUUGAAAAAAUUAGAGUGUUCAAGGCAGGCCUACGCCUGAGUACAUUAGCAUGGAAUAAUGGAAGAGGACCUCGGUCCUAUUUUGUUGGUUUCCAGGGCCGAAGUAAUGAUUAAGAGGGACAGUUGGGGGCAUUCGUAUUUAAUUGUCAGAGGUGAAAUUCUCGGAUUUAUGAAAGACGAACAACUGCGAAAGCAUUUGCCAAGGAUGUUUUCAUUAA
rnacentral:rRNA from 1 species